UAACAUGGCUCAGAGCCUUGGGUCAGAACGAACAGAAUGCAGACCUUUUUUACACUGGGAAUAAAAAUUGUGGGAGUAAUUUUUCUGGCACACUGGAAGUCUUUAAAAACAAAAGGUCUUUACAAAGGAACAGACUUUUUGAUUUCUAGAAAAACUAAGGGGAAAUUGGAAUUAUUUUGGUGGAUAGACAAACGCAGAAAAAACCUUUAGACAACACUGUGGCAUUAAACAAAUAUUCACUAAUAUCUCAUUAACAUUAUAAAAUCGGCAGAAGGAUACAUCAUCAGUGAAAACAUAAU